rnacentral:tRNA from 2 species
GCCCCUGUAGUGUAGUCCGGUCAAUCAUGCAGGCCUCUCGAGUCUGCGACGCGGGUUCGAAUCCCGCCGGGGGCACCA